ACUACUGGCCAGCAGCCGGGUAAUCCGUAGGGGCCAGCGUUUUUCUGAAUCUAUUGGGAGUAAAGAGCUUGUUGGCGGUUUUUUGGUUUACUUUGAAAUUCGAGGUUCAACUUCGGGCCUGCAGUGGGUACGGGCAGACUAGAGUGCGGUAGGGGAGAUUUGAAUUCUGGUGUAGCGGUGGAAUGCGCAGAUAUCAGGAGGAACACCGAUGGCGAAGGCAGAUCUCUGGGCCGUAACUGACGCUGAGGAGCGAAAGGGUGGGGAGCAAACAGGGUUAGAUACCCUGGUAGUCCACCCCCGUAAACGUUGGGAACUAGUUGUGGGGUCCAUUCCACGGAUUCCGUGACGCAGCUAACGCAUUAAGUUCCCCGCCUGGGGAGUACGGCCGCAAGGCUAAAACUCAAAGGAAUUGACGGGGACCCGCACAAGCGGCGGAGCAUGCGGAUUAAUUCGAUGCAACGCGAAGAACCUUACCAAGGCUUGACAUAUACGAGAACGGGCCAGAAAUGGUCAACUCUUUGGACACUCGUAAACAGGUGGUGCAUGGUUGUCGUCAGCUCGUGUCGUGAGAUGUUGGGUUAAGUCCCGCAACGAGCGCAACCCUCGUUCUAUGUUGCCAGCACGUAAUGGUGGGAACUCAUGGGAUACUGCCGGGGUCAACUCGGAGGAAGGUGGGGAUGACGUCAAAUCAUCAUGCCCCUUAUGUCUUGGGCUUCACGCAUGCUACAAUGGCCGGUACAAAGGGCUGCAAUACCGUGAGGUGGAGCGAAUCCCAAAAAGCCGGUCCCAGUUCGGAUUGAGGUCUGCAACUCGACCUCACGAAGUCGGAGUCGCUAGUAAUCGCAGAUCAGCACCGGUGCGGUGAAUACGUUCCCGGGUCUUGUACACCCCCCCCGUCAACUCCUGAAAGUCGGUAACACCUGAAGCCGGUGGCGUAACCCUUGUGGAGGCAGCCGUCCAAGGUGGGAUCAGUAAUUAGGAGUAAGUCGAACAAGAGCUAAACCCCCCCGAAAAUCGGG
rnacentral:rRNA from 1 species